rnacentral:rRNA from 1 species
UACGUAGGUGACAAGCGUUAUCCGGAAUUACUGGGCGUAAAGCGUGCGCAGGCGGUUUUGUAAGCCAGAUGUGAAAUCCCCGGGCUUAACCUGGGAAUGGCAUUUGGGACUGCAAGGCUGGAGUUUGGCAGAGGAGACUGGAAUUCCUGGUGUAGCAGUGAAAUGCGUAGAUAUCAGGAGGAACACCGAUGGCGAAGGCAGGUCUCUGGGCUGAAACUGACGCUCAUGCACGAAAGCGUGGGGAGCAAACAGG